GGAUCUCGCGAGAGCGGGGCGGGGCCGCGGGGCGCUGCGAAGGGGAGUGAUUGAGGGGUGAGUGUUACCUCACGGAGCGCUGCUUUACCUCCAGAAUGUGCUUCAUGCCUCUGAACAUGGGCAGUCUGAGCAGUGCAUGCAGCUGGUUGAAUAAUAUAUAUCAACCUGAAAUCUGCUAAAAGGAAAGUCUGGAACAGCAUAGGUAUUUGGUGUCCUGAAGAUAUAUGUGGAUGAUUUUGGUUUUUAUUUUUUAUUUUUUAAAUUUUUUUAAAUAAAACUAUUUCUUCGCCUUUAUGCAACAUAGUGA